rnacentral:rRNA from 1 species
UACGAAGGGGGCUAGCGUUGCUCGGAAUCACUGGGCGUAAAGCGCACGCAGGCGGCUUGUUAAGUCAGGGGUGAAAUCCUGGAGCUCAACUCCAGAACUGCCUUUGAUACUGGCGAGCUUGAGUUCGGGAGAGGUGAGUGGAACUGCGAGUGUAGAGGUGAAAUUCGUAGAUAUUCGCAAGAACACCAGUGGCGAAGGCGGCUCACUGGCCCGAUACUGACGCUGAGGUGCGAAAGCGUGGGGAGCGAACAGG